CAUCAAAGAGAGAUCUAACUGUGAUUUGCUCUGUGGUGGAUAGCUAUGUGUUGCGUCUGCUCGGAAUAAACUACCAUCUUCUGAAACGACUGAUCUCUCUAUCGGGCAAGGACUUCUGUCACUUUUGGCUACUGAGAGGAAGACUGAGCACUUUAGUGUCUAAGCUCCUGUUAUAACAGGCUCUAUCCACCACUGCAUGCUGGAGUGAACAACAUAACAGUGAGAGAGAGAACUGCUACCUACCGUGCAGACACUUGGAGAGCCCUGUUUCCUGGUUGGACCCUGACUGACACAAUGAUGUUGGAAAGAAGAGGAGAACCAGUGGCACAAAACAAUGUCCUCCGACAAUUCUCACCUCCUGGUACUUGUGUACCCGCCUCCCUUUGAGUGGGGGCUGGCCUGGCAACUUGCUUCUAACUAACAGAAUAUGGCAAAAGUGACAGGAUGCCUUCUGUGAUGAGGCUACGAAAGAUGGGAUUUCUGUCUUGCUAGAAGAUUCUCUUGCUGGCUUUGAUGGAGUAAACGUCCAUGUCGCGAGCUGCCCCGUUGGAAAGGGCCUGUGCCAAGGAACUGAGGGCAGCCUCCAGCCAACAGCUAGCAGGGAACUGAGACCCUCAGGCCAACGAGCCUGGAGGAACUGAAUCCUGCCAACAAUCAACCAUGUAAGUGAGCUUGGAAGUGGAUCAUUUCCCAGUCAAGUCUUCAGAUGAGACUCCAGCCGUGGCUGACAUCUUGAUUGCAGCCUGUGAGAGCUCAUGAGCAGAGGUCCUGGCUAAGCUAUGCCUGAACCCCUGGC
rnacentral:lncRNA from 1 species